AGGACGAACGCUGGCGGCGUGCUUAACACAUGCAAGUCGAGCGGUAAGGCCCUUUCGGGGGUACACGAGCGGCGAACGGGUGAGUAACACGUGGGUGACCUGCCCUUAGCUCUGGGAUAAGCCUGGGAAACUGGGUCUAAUACCGGAUAUGACCUCAUGACGCAUGUUGUGGGGUGGAAAGCCUUGUGCGGCUAGGGGAUGGGCCCGCGGCCUAUCAGCUUGUUGGUGGGGUGAUGGCCUACCAAGGCGACGACGGGUA
rnacentral:rRNA from 1 species